rnacentral:rRNA from 1 species
UGGCUAUGCUACCGCUUUUGGAUGGGCCCGCGGCGCAUUAGCUAGUUGGUGGGGUAAAGGCUUACCAAGGCAAUGAUGCGUAGCCGAACUGAGAGGUUGAUCGGCCACAUUGGGACUGAGACACGGCCCAAACUCCUACGGGAGGCAGCAGUAGGGAAUCUUCCACAAUGGGCGAAAGCCUGAUGGAGCAACGCCGCGUGGGUGAAGAAGGUCUUCGGAUCGUAAAACCCUGUUGUUAGAGAAGAAAGUGCGUGAGAGUAACUGUUCACGUUUCGACGGUAUCUAACCAGAAAGCCACGGCUAACUACGUGCCAGCAGCCGCGGUAAUACGUAGGUGGCAAGCGUUAUCCGGAUUUAUUGGGCGUAAAGGGAACGCAGGCGGUCUUUUAAGUCUGAUGUGAAAGCCUUCGGCUUAACCGGAGUAGUGCAUUGGAAACUGGGAGACUUGAGUGCAGAAGAGGAGAGUGGAACUCCAUGUGUAGCGGUGAAAUGCGUAGAUAUAUGGAAGAACACCAGUGGCGAAAGCGGCUCUCUGGUCUGUAACUGACGCUGAGGUUCGAAAGCGUGGGUAGCAAACAGGAUUAGAUACCCUGGUAGUCCACGCCGUAAACGAUGAAUGCUAAGUGUUGGAGGGUUUCCGCCCUUCA